AGCCUGGUGGUGAAAAAAAUCAUGCAGGAGUAUGCAAAAACAAAAUCACUGAACGAUGCCACCAGAAGACAGAUGAUUAACAUUCUCACUGCUGAGAUGACACAAACACAUGGGACAUCCCCCCCAAAAGUGUCAGAGUGUUGUAUGCGCAGGGGAUAGUUGCUCUAUUUCCAUAUCUGGAGGACCCAUAUUCACAGCAUGGAUACAAAGUGGGUCCGGAUACCUUGCAUGGCGGUUGAAAACCAUCCAACGAAAAAGUGCAGAGGAAAGAGGUGUGUCUGUGAGCAAAUCUCCCAAAAGUAAGUUUACUUGUCAGUUACAUACAGGCUU